GGUAAAAUGUGCAAAUAUGUAUUUGCUGACCUAAUCCUCACAGUAUCCUUUGUUUAUAGAGAAUCCUGGGCUGAUGGAUGUCCAGGAAGCAUGAGAAUCCAGAGUUCUGCCUGCUCUAGGACCGAGGAAGAGGAGGAGGUCAUGGCCACAUAGUGCACAGAGACUUCUCAGUUCUGAAACAUAUCGACGACAGUGGACAGCCCUGAGUGGCAAAGGAACUCUGCUCUCCUGGACCUCAACUCUCCGAGGACAAAGGUGCCAUUAGCAGACUCCAGGGAGACAUUCCAUACACACAUGCUGCCUGAUGAAGGCGAGGAAGGGCAAAACACUCUGCGUGCCAGUUAGAGCAGAUUGCCAGUUGGCCGUCUUGCAGAGACUGCCAGCCUUGCCCUGCAGUUCAGGAAGAUGGGUCGUUCCAGGCGUCUGCUUUUCCUUGUGGGCGGGACACUGACAGUGAGUGGGAGGUGAUUUGACUCUAGGGAUAAGUAGCGUGGCAAAGUGGCACCCUGUAAUGAGCGUGGCAUCUGUCCCUCACGUGCACCCCAUCCUCAGCUGUCACCUGUGCUUCGGAGAGAAUGGGGGGCAGAUGGUGAAUCUCUGGAGCAAACACCUAGGAUGCUUCGAGACUGCUGUGACUCCAGAGGGGCCACAGAGACCCCGCAUCCAACCUGUGGCCACUCUCGCAGAGAAAAGCUGCCAAGCCCAAGGUCACAUCAGGGACACCCAGGGGCCAGCAAUGAUCACUCCACGGGUAUAUGAGGCAUGUGAGAGCUUUUCUGCAGACGACCAGAAGAAUGCUCCGGGCAGCGCGUCUUCUGCUUGGAUGGAGAAGAAGCGAAUGUGAAUCACGGGCAUUUCCCCUGCUGAAGUUCUUCGCCAGAGAACCAGGCGAAGCGUUGCAACAAGCACGCUGCCCCACCAUGUGUGCAACCACCAUGAAAGAACCUAACUUAGCAAGCAGUACUGAGCAAUACCCUCCCCCAAAGCUAUGUUUUUUUUUUUCUUUAUAACAAAGCUUCUUUCCAGAAAUGGAGCUUUUAAAUGGUGGUGAUUUUAGACAAAGAUCUUUUUAAAAUGUAUUUUUAUGAUACCCACAUUUUCUGUCAUUGGGACUCCAUUCCAACAUACUGGCUUACAUGUUCAUUAUGUUGAACAUCUGUUACUCCACUGGUUGCAAAAAGAGGUCAGUGCUAUGAGAAGCAUCCAGUACAAGCCCCCUCUUUGAGAUGUCCGCAGGUUUGGGGCAUGGAGAAGAGAGGCGGAGAUGAGCCUUCAAGGUGUUUAAUCAACUGUGAAUUGAAGAACCGUGUUGAGGGGGCGUCAUAGUAAUUUCACGGUAAGUAAAAAUGAGAAGCCCACCCUGUGAGUCCUUUCUAGACCUCCUAAGAAGUCUUUUUCAGGCAGCCCUGGGAUCAGGAAGGCUAGUAGAGCUGAGAAACUGACCUGUGCAGAAAACAAGCUUGCACAUCCACACGCACGCACACACACACACACACACACACACACACACACACACGUACGGUGUAGGGAGACUCUGUGACAUAAGCCUCCAUUUAACCUCUGUUGGCUUAAAUGGGUCUUGCUUUAAAUGAUGCACUUUGAGAUAACCUGUGAGCCAUCUAUGCACCGAAUGUGUUAAGGGGCUUGAGAAACCCACAUCAGAGAGCAGCCAAAUCCUGAUCCCCGCCUCCCGUGCAUCUUUCAGCAACUGCUUUGAAUGCCAGUUGGAGAAGCAUGCCUUUUCUCUCUGGUUCCACAGGCCACUGGCCAGAGAAGGAACCAACACAGAAACUUUAACAGCGUCUCAAGAGUGUCCCCUGUGCUCCUCACCGACUACUGACAAUCAAUGGGAAAGUAAUCCUAGUUUUUAUUUGAAGCUAUCUUGGCUUUAGAAGAACCUUCCAAAAAAUGAUUGAUGCGAUGAAUUAAACCCAUAGGUAACCCUGGAAAUCUGCUUUGAAUAGCAACAAAUUCCUAACAAUAUCUUCAAUGCCUGCAGCCGCGAAAUCUAAUCUCUGAACUCCUAAAGGUCAAGAUUUGCUGUCUGGUAGCACGGCUCAAGAGUAAAUGCUCCCUAAUGCUGCACUAGGCGAUUGCUUUGCACUCCAGACAAUGUCAAUUUUGUCCAAGUAGCUGCAGAUGUGUCUAGCAUUAAGUCAGAACAGUGUCAAGGGCCCUUCUUGAACACCGGCUGCUUCUCAGAGAAACUGGUCCUAAAGCCCCAGUCUAUUACACUCCGUGCCCCAAAGACAGGCGUUUAAGGCUUAAAGGAGGAUGGAGAAUAAAGCCGCAUUAGAUUUUUUAAUGUUUCUGAGUCAGGAGACCCAGGGGAGGAAAGUCUCUGGUGAGCCCAAUGUCCUUCCUUCUUCCCUCCCCGCUGCCAGCCCUCUGGUCUUCCUGAUUAAGGUACCGCUGCCGCCUAUGAAGACCUACACUUAAGCUACUUGCGUGGUAAGCCAUUCAUCACUGCUCAGGCCCUACUCUAGCUAUGGAAAAGCUAUAACAGACUAAUGAACCCAUUACAUUAAGAAAUGUAUAUGUUACCGGAAGUAAUGCGCCAAGAGGAGGCAUGGGGUGGGGGCAGAAACCCAGCCCUCUGUGGAGCAGGGUGAGUACUCAGUAUAAUGAAGUCCUGGAUGGCUCAGCUGGCUCCACCCUCAACUCAGGAAGGGAGAUUCCUCCCACGUAUAAGCAGUUCUGUAGUUUAAGCCUAUUAUUUAUUGAAGUCAGAAGACAUGACUGAUGGCAGGCAUGAUUAAAUUAGCAAUCAGGAUGAAGGCUUUGGGAGUCUUAAAGUUAGUAAGACAGACUGGGGAAGAUAGCCCACCUUGCAAGGACUCACCUUGCAAACACAAGAACCCGAGUUCCAGCCCCAGCACUAGGUUUUAAACAGCCAGGUGUGGCGGACCACACUCGUAACUUCAGAACUGAGAGGCGGCCAUUCCACCUAGCCUACUCGACAAGUCCAUGGCAGUGGCAGGAAUGUAACCAAGGAGACACUGUCAUAGUCUACUGAGAAAGUUUACUUCUCUUUUUCUGUCUACCUCUGCAGUCCCUCUGCUGCUCUGGAGAGGCCAUUUUCUUUUUCUUUUGAGACAGAGUUUCCCUGUGUAUUCCUAACUGUCCUGGAACUUACUGUG